GCUUGGGGCCUUCCCGGAGUGCUGGCUCCGAGGGCAAGGGGGAGGGGACCGUCAGUGGUUUAGGGGCCGAAGAGGGAGUCAGGAUUUGAAAUUGAAAUGCGGGUGUUAGAAGUGGGGACCUGAGAGGCUGCGAGUGCAGGAGUAGGCUUUGGGGCGUGGGAAUUUACAUACGCCCUCAGACGCGGAUCUUAUCCGGUCUUGCCUCUGCUGGGGAAAAAAAAAAAAAAAAAGAGCUGUUUAUCAGUGUAUAGAUCGGAUCAAGUCCAAGCUGUUCAGCAUACCAUUCAAAGCCCUUCACAAUAGGGCGAGGUGUAGGGUGUGGCCAGUGAGGCCCUGGCAGAAGGUAUGUGGGCGGCAAAAAAACGUAAUCAAGAUCAAUAAUACUUUAAUACAAUUUUUUAAAAAUCCAUACCACCGCCCCCCAAAUUCCUGCCUCACUCACCUCAUUCUAAGCCCAGCCCUGGUUACGGUAAAACUUCGUUUACAUAAACGGGUGGCAUGCCCGUAAGUUGCUGAUGUGCCCUUAGCCACCACGGGGAUCUGGGGAUCUGCCACAGGAAGAGAGGACUCGGUGGCCUUUGGAGGUCAAACAAGGCCAUAAAUCAGGGAGGCAAGGCUGAGUGUGUAAACGGCUGCCUGCCCCAGAGUCUUCUCCUUGCUUCAGCCAAGUGUUGUUAGAUCUUAACCAGUCGCGAGAAAUCGGGAUUUGGGGGUCAAUAGCUUGGUUUUUAAAUAUUGCAAAUACAUUUUUAAAGUUUUAAUUUGGGAGCCAAACUAAUCCCACAGUUAGGCCCGAUUCGGCCUGUCAGUAACCAGGUUGUAAUGGUUCAUCUGCUAGGUCCCUUUACCCUUUUAUAUUUUUUUCUUCUUUGAAAAGCUUCUGGAAUCUUCCUUCCCCUCUUCUCUCUCCUGUGUUUCUCUAUUCUUGCAUCAGUCACAGUGCAUUUAGUGUUUGAGCUUAUGCACCUUUCUGGUAAUUUGUGCGUUUCGUUUCUGGGUGGCUCUAUGUUCCCCCUGUUGGGCCCAUUCCAGAACUUAAAGUCCCAGAAACCGAAAGAAUGGAAGAUAUGAUACUUCUAAAAAAAAAAAAAGAAAGAAAGAAAGAAAGAAAAUAUGAUACUUCUAGAUGACAUGGAGCAAGAUAGUAGGUGCCAGGGUGCCUAUAACAUUUUACCUACUGACCCUUUUGUCCCCAAGAUUAUCAGGGACCUUCUGGAUGCUAAAUCUGUGGGAUGCUUUUCAGUGGACCAUCUUGUAGCCAUUUGAUAAUGUUGAAUCCUACCUUAAUUCUGAAACUCAUGUACGUUGGAUCUCGUAACUCCCUGCCCUCUUCUCUUCCUUUAAUAUUUCUGGAGGCUCCUUUUACAUCUCCCGUUGCCUCUGUGUAUGUAUAUGUUUUAACCCCUAGUCCUUUAUUUUGGAAAAUUCCAAACCUACAGAAAUGUUGAAACAGGAGAGUAUAAAUACAGUAUAGAUUCCCCAGUUGUUAACAUUUUGCCACAUUUACCGUUUGCAUAUACAUAGAUACACACAUAUAUACACACAAAACCUCUUCUUUUUUUCAGAAGAGUUUGAAAAUAAGUUGCAAACUUCACGACAUUUAGCCCGGCGGUACUUCAGCAUGUAAUCUCCCCAAAUAAGGACAUUGCCCUCCACAACCAUACGUCACAGAUCCAGUUCUCCAGUUCUCAGGUAGAGACCAGUCUGCAGAAGGUUGUGUUUUUUUUUUUCCCGCCCCGUGGCAUAUGGAGUUCCAUGGUUCAGAUCCAAGCCGCAGUUGCCACCCAAGCCACAGCUGUGGCAGUGCUGGACCCCCAACCCUCUGGGCCCAGCUGGAGAAUCAAACCCUCCACCCAGCGCCCCCAAGACCUGGAUGGUCCCAUUGCACCACAGUGGGAACUCUGCCUGCAACAGGCUUAUUAAGGAGUGCUUCUGGGCUCCCCACUUAUGCAAGGAAAGGGGGUUGCCAUGAACUUUCAAGGACCUCAGGCAGUCCCAGAGGGAGCUCUGUGACAGGGAUGAUCCAGCACGUCUAUCCUGAGUGGGACAAGGGGGCUGGACCCUUGUAUUCUCAUACUAAGUCGUGUGCAGGCUUCAUCGUGUGCAGGCUUUGCUGGAAAGGGUGUGUGAUCUUGGGCAAAGGAGUUAGUUCAGUGCAGCUGGGGCAAUUCCUGGGACAGCCCCUCCCUUCUCCCUUCCCUCCUCCCUCUCUCCUCCCCCUCUGUCUUUUUUUUGAGGGGAGGGCACACCUGCAGCAUAUGGAAAUUCCCAGGCCGGGGUCCAAUCAGAGCUACAGCCACCAGCCUACAUCGCGGCCACAGCAACAAGGGAUCUGAAACCUUCAGUCCUUGGGGAACUGAGCAGGCACGACCAUGGUCACUGCCGUCUUAGUGUGUCUGGGCUGCCUAACAAAAUGCCACAGACCGAGUGACUUAUCAACAGACAUUGCUUGUCACGGCUCUGGAGGCCAGAAGUCUGAGAUCAGGGUGCACUGUGGUCGGGUGAGGGUCCUCUCCUGUGGCACAGAUUUCUCAGUUGUAUCCUCCCGAGUACUAGGGACAUGCGAGCUCUGUGGGGUCUAUUUUAUAAAAGGAUUAAUCCCAUUAAUGGGGGCUCCACCCUCCUGCUCCUUGACUCCCCAAAGGCCCCACCUUCGCACACCAUCACAUUGGAUGUCAGGAUUCCAACAUGUGAAUUUGGGGCAGAAACAUUCAGGCGGAGCAAUUACAGUCGUCCCCCCCACCCGGUAUCCUGAGAUCCACUUCUUAGUACAAAUUUGAGGAACAGCUCCUCCAGGAUUCUGGGAGGUCUUUUUUCCUCAAGGCAAUUUUAAAGAGGAAGGACGGAAGACAAAUGCCAGCCCUACUGCUGCAGCAGGGCUUCCCUUGACACUCACUGUCUUUCCCUUCCACUGUCCCUUCUAGAUUUUUCCCACCUCCCAGCACCAGGGUCUGCUGGUCUCCAUCGCUUACCCAGUGGCACAAGGCAGGCCGUCAUCCCCAGGAAGUCUGAGCCCCUGGUUUCCAUGCUGUUUUCUGACUGGCUGCUGGCCCUCCCAAACCACAGACCAUCAGCACGGGGCAUGAAGCAUCCCAACAACCACUUGGGUACCAAACACAUCUCCCCACCUCCUCCUACAAUCAGGGUCAAUUUCUCCUACCUGGAUGGUGACUUCUCUCACUCCUUUCUUUACUCCUGACCCAAGAGCCCAGGUAGCAACUGUUGCUAACAUUUCAGUGGGACUCUUGCUCUGUCCCCUGGUGAAAUUGGAGCUGUCAACCUGGAGAAGCCAGGGUCACAGGGACAAGGGUAAUUUCCCAGGUGGGUCGCUGGGAGUGAUGGUAUGGGGUGGGGGCUCCGGCUUCCAUGCUGUGUCACCCACCUAUUGAGACCCAGCACCGAAGACCAGUCAUUGACUUGGAGUGUACGUAGACACCUCUGAUAACUCAGGGUCCACCAGAUUGCAUGGCCCAGCUAGGAGGGAAGCUUGUACCACUGCCUGAACCUGCUUCAGAACCCUUCCCUACUCUGGUCUCCAACUCAAAACCGGCAGCCUUUCAAGCCAUCAGUGUGGGGGGCAGAGCAGAAUUCCCAGGGGUGGAAUAUUCUGCUCCCAGAACCCAAAGAAGCCUCCCAGGUGCUGUGUUUUCUUCCUCUUGGUGGAAGGUACAAGAUGCAGCCACUUACCCUCUACUUUGUAGAAGUGCCGUCACCCCCAGACUGCUGGACCCUAAAAAUCUUACUCAUACGGUGGCCUCUGAAUCUUUGUAAAUGUGAGCGCCCACCUUCCAGAACACAUAUACAUGUAUCUUAUGGUGAAUUUUAGCAUACGAGCUGGUCUCAUGCUUCCCUGGUCUAAUUAGCAUGAUGACAUCAGUGGGAUGGGUCAGUGUGAUGUUUUGGGGCUUGUCCAGGCAAUCCAAAUCUCCUCAGAUUCUGUGAUGACAGAAGAUAGGAGAAUUAACUAGGUCUCCAGGGCAAGAUCAAAAUAUAUACCACUGUCUCUUCCAAGUGAAUAUAAACUCUUUCUGAUCCUCCUUUCUAACUGGGCUAGAAAAGACUUGCUUUCACCGAUGGCCACAUAUCAUGUGCCUGAGACCAUGUUUAUCCUUCUAGCAAAGAUGCCACCAGUGGAGUUCCCGCUGUGGCACAGCCAAAUGGCUGCUCCAGCUCCCAGAUCCCUCCUGUACUCACCGUCCCCAGUCGGACUCCCAGGAAGCAGCCUCGGAGAUGGAGAUUAGCCUGCAGAGAGAUGCUCUUGGGGUCUCCACCUGAGGACGGGAAGGAGUCUGGGACGCAGGAGCCUAGCCCCGAGAAAGACCUCAACAAAUCCAGAGGGCUUUAAAGCCGGAGUGCCCUUCAGAGCCGUCCCACGUUCAGGCAGGGGGCCUGGCUUUAUACUCCCAUGCUGAUCAGGCAGUGGGCAUGGGCUGCCCAGAAGGGAGCCAUGACCUUGGGCAAGGGAGGCAGUUUCUAAGAAGGCGGAGGGCUGUGGGCUGCUGGCAUUCCCAGAAGCUGGGGCAACACGCCCUUCCGUCCUGCUUAAGGGGAUCCUCAGGGUGCACUGCACCUGUCCACUUCCACGGGCCGUCAUCGCUUGAGGGCCUCUCAGCGGGCGGGCCUGAAGAGUGUGCAUAUUCUAAAGGUCCGGAGUGCACACCGGUGCCUGGGAUCCAAAUCCGAAACUAGUGUUCCUUACCCCCUCCCAGCCCAUAUUUGCAUUUCCCUUGCCCCCAGGGUGCGAGCCAACCCUGGCUUCGAUUGUAUCAGAUUUUUGCUUUAUCCCAGCAUGCCUGUGACUCCUUUAAAAAGUGUUCUCUCUUCCUAUGAUUCACUCCAUUGGUUUUAUUUAUUUAUUUAGUCUUUUGAGGGCAUAUGGAGGUUCCCAGGCUAGGGGUUGAAUCGGAGCCGUAGCUGCCAGUCUACUACAGCCACAGCAACGCAGGAUCUGAACCACAUCCGCGACCUACACCACAGCUCACGGCAAUACCGGAUCCUUAACCCAGUGAGUGAGGCCGGGGAUCGAACCUGCAUCCUCCUGGAUACCAGCUGGGUUCGUUAACCGCUGAGUCACAACAGGAACUCAGACACUCCAUUGGAUUUAAUGCUUAGUUCUAGGAAGAUGGUUCUCUAAUACAGUACUUUAUCCCGUGUUUCUGCGGAGCUUCACACUGUGUAACUGACUGCAUCUGACACAAGACUAAUGUCUGGUUGGCUGUCCAUGUACAACUCAAACGGAAGGAAUGUGUGACGUCUAAAGCUAAACUCAGCCUUCUCUGUGCCUUGCCAUGUGCCUCGAAGGGGCAGGAACUGUGUUCAUCUCAUUUGCCAAUGAAAGUCCACUAUGUAGCAGGUUGUCAGCGCUCCAAGAGAUGCCCUUUAAUAAAACAGUUCGUCUGGCCAUGGUGUGGAGAAUGGAUGGCAACGCCGUUCAGGGACUGUGCUAAGAACCCCCGAAUUGUACACUGUAAAGAAGUGAAUUUUACAGCAGGAAAGUGAGAGAGAGCCAUAUGCUGAUUUCUAAAAGAAGAAACUACGCCUGAAUGUUUCAGCUCAAACAAUCAAAAUAAGCCAGAGAUCUCAUGUUCAUCAAAUCUUUAUAUACUAAUAUUAAGGAACCAUUAAGCAAUGGAUCAUUUCAUCUUUCACAGACGCAACAAAGUGGGAAAAAACUUAAACAUGCAAAGUUAAGCAGCAGGCACAGAUGAGAGAACUCUGGAAGCCAGGCGUGUUACUUACAGAGCCGCGGCACCGGAGAUGAUUUCAAUCAGCUCCUUUGUGAUGACAGCUUGGCGGGUGCGAUUGAAUGUCAAAGUCAAUUUAUCAAUCAUUUCCGCUGAAAACAAAACACCAGAUUAGACAACAAGAUCCAAAACUAGAAAAGAAAAACUUUCAGCACCGACUGAAAUGCUGCUUCAUUUAAAAGUAAGAGAUUCUGUUUCCUCUUGGGUAUCGAAACUGGCCUCUCAAAAAAUUUUAUGAAGGUGUUUCUGCAUCUUCCGUGAGACACCUUUCUGAAGUACUCCCACACUUACUGCCUACCGAGUACGCAAUCGCUUCCUUUAAGGCAGAGCAUGCUAUCCUGCUAUCCUGACGGAUCGGUGGCAGGGCCCAGGACCAGAGCCCAGCUCUCCUGCUCCCCGGUCCACUCAAGAAUGCUGCCUUUGACAUGAGGGUCUUCAUGCUACUUCUGGCGAGAGGCUUCCUCUCGGAACGUGCCGUGUGCUUACAAGCAUUCUUGCUCGCGUUGUCCAUGGCCGUCAUCCUGGCGCUCUGCUCACUCGUGGUGGACUCCUUCAGGGAAUAGUAGAUGAUGUUGGCCAGGCUGUACUCCUGGUAGUUCCGCAGCACA